rnacentral:rRNA from 1 species
UACCCGCAGCUCAAGUGGUGGUCAUUAUUAUUGGGCCUAAAGCGUCCGUAGCUGGUUUGUUAAAUGCCUGGGGAAAUCGAUGCGCUCAACGCAUCGAAUUCCGGGUAGACUGGCAAACUCGAGACCGGGAGAGGUGUAGGCUACUCGAGGGGUAGGGGUAAAAUCCUGUAAUCCUUCGGGGAGGACCAGUGGCGAAGGCGCUACACUAGAACGGCUCUGACAGUGAGGGACGAAGCCCUGGGGCGCAAACCGG